rnacentral:rRNA from 1 species
UCCGUAGGUGAACCUGCGGAGGGAUCAUUACACAAUAUGAAAGCGGGUUGGGACCUCACCUCGGUGAGGGCUCCAGCUUGUCUGAAUUAUUCACCCAUGUCUUUUGCGCACUUCUUGUUUCCUGGGCGGGUUCGCCCGCCACCAGGACCAAACCAUAAACCUUUUUGUAAUUGCAAUCAGCGUCAGUAAACAAUGUAAUUAUUACAACUUUCAACAACGGAUCUCUUGGUUCUGGCAUCGAUGAAGAACGCAGCGAAAUGCGAUACGUAGUGUGAAUUGCAGAAUUCAGUGAAUCAUCGAAUCUUUGAACGCACAUUGCGCCCUUUGGUAUUCCAAAGGGCAUGCCUGUUCGAGCGUCAUUUGUACCCUCAAGCUUUGCUUGGUGUUGGGCGUCUUUGUCUCUCACGAGACUCGCCUUAAAAUGAUUGGCAGCCGACCUACUGGUUUCGGAGCGCAGCACAAUUCUUGCACUUUGAAUCAGCCUUGGUUGAGCAUCCAUCAAGACCACAUUUUCUUAACUUUUGACCUCGGAUCAGGUAGGGAUACCCGCUGAACUUAAGCAUAUCAAUAAGCGGAGGAA